rnacentral:rRNA from 1 species
AUUGAACGCUGGCGGCAGGCCUAACACAUGCAAGUCGAGCGGAGCGGCAGACGGGUGAGUAAUGCCUAGGAAUGUGCAUGGUAGUGGGGGAUAACGUCCGGAAAUGGGCGCUAAUACCGCAUACUAUCAGAUGAGCCUAGGUCGGAUUAGCUAGUUGGUGGGGUAACGGCUCACCUAGGCGACGAUCCCUAGCUGGUCUGAGAGGAUGACCAGCCACACUGGAACUGAGACACGGUCCAGACUCCUACGGGAGGCAGCAGUGGGGAAUAUUGCACAAUGGGCGCAAGCCUGAUGCAGCCAUGCCGCGUGUGUGAAGAAGGCCUUCGGGUUGUAAAGUACUUUCAGCGGGGAGGCGUUACUCGCAGAAGAAGCACCGGCUAACUCCGUGCCAGCAGCCGCGGUAAUAC